rnacentral:rRNA from 1 species
GUGUCAGCCGCCGCGGUAAGACAGAGGGUGCAAACGUUGCUCGGAAUCACUGGGCGUAAAGGGCGUGUAGGCGGGGAAGUAAGUCGGGCGUGAAAUCCCCAGGCUCAACCUGGGAACUGCACUCGAAACUACUUCUCUUGAGUACCGGAGAGGAAAGCGGAAUACCUGGUGUAGAGGUGAAAUUCGUAGAUAUCAGGUGGAACACCAGUGGCGAAGGCGGCUUUCUGGACGGUAACUGACGCUGAGACGCGAAAGCGUGGGGAGCAAACAGGAUUAGAAACCCUGGUAGUCC